UACGUAGGGUGCAAGCGUUGUCCGGAAUUAUUGGGCGUAAAGAGCUCGUAGGCGGUCUGUCGCGUCUGCUGUGAAAACUCGGGGCUUAACCCCGGGCCUGCAGUGGGUACGGGCAGACUAGAGUGCGGUAGGGGAGACUGGAAUUCCUGGUGUAGCGGUGAAAUGCGUAGAUAUCUGGAGGAACACCGGUGGCGAAGGCGGCAUCCUGGACCAAUACUGACACUGAGGAGCGAAAGCCAGGGGAGCAAACGGG
rnacentral:rRNA from 1 species